GCAAAGCCUGAGCAGCUGUGAUCCUGGUGGCAGGGUUCAGGUCCAGCAGCCGGUCCAGCAAGGUGUAGGCUUCAUCAGGGACUCUGUCCCAGCCCUGCCCCUUGUCCUCUGUCUCCAGGGUCUGUUUAGCGAGGGCUUUCAACAGGUGAUAGAUGUACAUACGGACCUCUUCAAAGUGUAACAAAGCGAAUAAAACCCAGGAUCAUGUGGCAUACUCCCAAAGUCUCAUAUCCAUUUACAGUGCAGGAUAAAAGUGUGUCAGUGACAGAGUCUCACAGAGGACAGGCAGGUCUCCCCGAGUGAAGGCCUCUUCUAUCAACUUCCUGUCUGACAGGACCACUCCUGCAUGGUGGGGAAUCCCAGCACCACCUUCCUCAGCUUCACUGGACGAUGGCUCUCAUCCAUAUCCAGUUGACUUCAGAAACAUCUCAGAGGUUCAACAACUAACAUGCAGGUAAAAUAAAACUACAUUUGAUAAUGA